rnacentral:rRNA from 1 species
AACCUCUUUUAGCAGGGAAGAAGCGAAAGUGACGGUACCUGCAGAAAAAGCGCCGGCUAACUACGUGCCAGCAGCCGCGGUAAUACGUAGGGCGCAAGCGUUAUCCGGAAUUAUUGGGCGUAAAGAGCUCGUAGGCGGUUUGUCGCGUCUGCUGUGAAAACCCGAGGCUCAACCUCGGGCCUGCAGUGGGUACGGGCAGACUAGAGUGCGGUAGGGGAGAUUGGAAUUCCUGGUGUAGCGGUGGAAUGCGCAGAUAUCAGGAGGAACACCGAUGGCGAAGGCAGAUCUCUGGGCCGUAACUGACGCUGAGGAGCGAAAGGGUGGGGAGCAAACAGGCUUAGAUACCCUGGUAGUCCACCCCGUAAACGUUGGGAACUAGUUGUGGGGUCCAUUCCACGGAUUCCGUGACGCAGCUAACGCAUUAAGUUCCCCGCCUGGGGAGUACGGCCGCAAGGCUAAAACUCAAAGGAAUUGACGGGGACCCGCACAAGCGGCGGAGCAUGCGGAUUAAUUCGAUGCAACGCGAAGAACCUUACCAAGGCUUGACAUACACGAGAACGCUGCAGAAAUGUAGAACUCUUUGGACACUCGUGAACAGGUGGUGCAUGGUUGUCGUCAGCUCGUGUCGUGAGAUGUUGGGUUAAGUCCCGCAACGAGCGCAACCCUCGUUCUAUGUUGCCAGCACGUAAUGGUGGGAACUCAUGGGAUACUGCCGGGGUCAACUCGGAGGAAGGUGGGGAUGACGUCAAAUCAUCAUGCCCCUUAUGUCUUGGGCUUCACGCAUGCUACAAUGGCCGGUACAAAGGGCUGCAAUACCGCAAGGUGGAGCGAAUCCCAAAAAGCCGGUCCCAGUUCGGAUUGAGGUCUGCAACUCGACCUCAUGAAGUCGGAGUCGCUAGUAAUCGCAGAUCAGCAACGCUGCGGUGAAUACGUUCCCGGGUCUUGUACACACCGCCCGUCAAGUCAUGAAAGUCGGUAACACCUGAAGCCGGUGGCCCAACCCUUGUGGAGGGAGCCGUCGA